CGAUUCAAAAACCUGGGUUUUGGCAACCCAGCAAAAGCACAGGAAGCAGAAAAGCAGCUGAUACUGGAGUGUGCCACUUUGAUCCAGCCUGCUGAAACAUCUGAUCCCCAAAUCGCACCUUCAUCAUCAUCCACAGCAGACAACAGUCUCUGGGACAUGUUUGACCAAAAAGUGAAGAACAAAACCACCACACGCAGCAUCACAGCAGACGCAACAAUUGAAGUUGGAAAAUAUCUUCAAGAGCCCUUCAUUCCCCGAUCUGCAGAUCCUCUUGCAUAUUGGAAGGAAAGGGCAGUGGUCUUUCCACAUCUGCAUAAACUUUCAAAUAAAUUCCUUUGCAUUCCUGCGACAAGUGUACCAUGUGAAAGAGUUUUUUCCAAAGCUGGAGAGGUGAUAACGAAGAAAAGAAAUCGGUUGCACCCCUCCACUGCAGAAAAAAUAAUCUUCUUAAAUAAAAACCUUGAAAUCU